GGCGAUCCACCGGAGACGAACGGAGAACGAUUUAUAUCGUCAUGAAUAUAUAUGUAGCUAGUUCUCCUCUUCUUAAUUUAUGUUGAUCAAUCAAUUAAAGGAGAGGAGAAAAAUAGGCCAUGGCCGGGCUAGGGUUUGGGGUCAACGGUGGGAGAGGGAACCGAUUUGGAGGGGGAUUGGAUAGCACAGGUUGAUGUAAUAAUGAUAAAGAGGAACAUAGGGGAAUAGCAUAGCCGGGGUUCCUCACCUUCCGGUGAGCAGCUUGCGAGAAGUGGGUUUUUGACGAAGAAUAUCUGAAUCUGGUCAAUGGGGGUUUAGGGAUUUAGAAGAAAG
rnacentral:lncRNA from 1 species